rnacentral:rRNA from 1 species
AGAUGGCGACCGGCGCACGGGUGAGUAACACGUAUCCAACCUGCCGAUAACUCGGGGAUAGCCUUUCGAAAGAAAGAUUAAUACCCGAUGGUAUAAUCAGACCGCAUGGUUUGAUUAUUAAAAAAUUUCGGUUAUCGAUGGGGAUGCGUUCCAUUAGGCAGUUGGUGAGGUAACGGCUCACCAAACCUUCGAUGGAUAGGGGUUCUGAGAGGAAGGUCCCCCACAUUGGAACUGAGACACGGUCCAA